AUUAAACGCUGGCGGCAUGCCUUACACAUGCAAGUCGAACGGUAGCGCGGGGCAACCUGGUGGCGAGUGGCGAACGGGUGAGUAAUGCAUCGGAACGUGCCAUUGAGUGGGGGAUAACGUAGCGAAAGUUGCGCUAAUACCGCAUAUUCUGUGAGCAGGAAAGCAGGGGACCGCAAGGCCUUGCGCUCUUUGAGCGGCCGAUGUCAGAUUAGCUAGUUGGUGAGGUAACGGCUUACCAAGGCGACGAUCUGUAGCGGGUCUGAGAGGAUGAUCCGCCACACUGGAACUGAGACACGGUCCAGACUCCUACGGGAGGCAGCAGUGGGGAAUUUUGGACAAUGGGCGCAAGCCUGAUCCAGCCAUGCCGCGUGAGUGAAGAAGGCCUUCGGGUUGGUU
rnacentral:rRNA from 1 species